rnacentral:rRNA from 1 species
AGUUUGAUCAUGGCUCAGGACGAACGCUGGCGGCGUGCCUAACACAUGCAAGUCGAACGGGGCCCGCAAGGGUUCAGUGGCGAACGGGUGCGUAACACGUGAAGAACUUGUCCAUCGGCGGGGGAUAGCCGGCCCAACGGCCGGGUAAUACCGCGUACGCCGGCGAGGGCGCAUGCCCAUGCCGGGAAAGCAGCAAUGCACCGAUGGAGAGCUUCGCGGCCUAUCAGCUUGUUGGCGGGGUAAUGGCCCACCAAGGCGACGACGGGUAGCUGGUCUGAGAGGAUGACCAGCCACAUUGGGACUGAGACACGGCCCAGACUCCUACGGGAGGCAGCAGUGGGGAAUAUUGCGCAAUGGGGGAAACCCUGACGCAGCGACGCCGCGUGUGGGAUGACGGCCUUCGGGUUGUAAACCACUGUCGGGAGGGACGAAGAUCUGACGGUACCUCCAAAGGAAGCACCGGCUAACUCUGUGCCAGCAGCCGCGGUAAUACAGAGGGUGCGAGCGUUGUCCGGAAUUACUGGGCGUAAAGGGCGCGUAGGCGGCCUGAUAAGUAGGGGGUGAAAUUCCGUGGCUCAACCACGGAACUGCCUUCUAAACUGCCAGGCUUGAGCACGGUAGAG